rnacentral:rRNA from 1 species
AUUGAACGCUGGCGGCACGCCUUACACAUGCAAGUCGAACGGCAGCAUGAUCUGGCCUGCCAGUUUGAUGGGGCGUGGUGAACGGGUGAGAAAUACACCGGAACGUGUACUGUUUCGGGGGAGAACUCGUCGAGAGACUAACUAAUACAGCACAUGAGCCGUGGGUGAGAGUGGAGGACCGCAACGCCUCUUGCUCUAGUAGCUGCCGAUGUCUGAUUAGCUAGUUGGCGGGGUAAAGGCUCACCAAGGCGACGAUCCGUAGCUGGUCUGAGAGGACGAUCAGCCACACUGGGACUGAGACACGGCCCAGACUCCUACGGGAGGCAGCAGUGGGGAAUUUUGGACAAUGGGCGCAAGCCUGAUCCAGCCAUGCCGCGUGUGUGAAGAAGGCCUUCGGGUUGUAAAGCACUUUUGUCGGGAAAGAAAAGGAUCUGGUUAAUACCUGGGGUUGAUGACGGUACCGGAAGAAUAAGCACCGGCUAACUACGUG